rnacentral:lncRNA from 1 species
ACUCUUGUCCAUUCUUGUUUUUACUUCAUGGAACUUUUGAUGUGUUUGCUUUUGUGCUAGGGAAUUCUAUUUGAGCUUAAUUGGAGAAACCAUUGCCAUGUUCAUCCAAAGUGAAAGACACAAGACACAUUGAGGAUCUCUUAGGAGACUUGUUUAAUUGCUUAUGCUUUUUGUGACUGCUUAUUCCAAAGGAUGGGAGCUACAUGGAUCAUCAAUAUGAUCUCAAGAGAGGAACUCCAUUGUGGUUUUGUUUCUU